rnacentral:rRNA from 1 species
GAUGAACGCUGGCGGCGUGCCUAAUACAUGCAAGUCGAGCGAACAGACGAGGAGCUUGCUCCUCUGACGUUAGCGGCGGACGGGUGAGUAACACGUGGAUAACCUACCUAUAAGACUGGGAUAACUUCGGGAAACCGGAGCUAAUACCGGAUAAUAUAUUGAACCGCAUGGUUCAAUAGUGAAAGACGGUUUUGCUGUCACUUAUAGAUGGAUCCGCGUCGCAUUAGCUAGUUGGUAAGGUAACGGCUUACCAAGGCGACGAUGCGUAGCCGACCUGAGAGGGUGAUCGGCCACACUGGAACUGAGACACGGUCCAGACUCCUACGGGAGGCAGCAGUAGGGAAUCUUCCGCAAUGGGCGAAAGCCUGACGGAGCAACGCCGCGUGAGUGAUGAAGGUCUUCGGAUCGUAAAACUCUGUUAUUAGGGAAGAACAAAUGUGUAAGUAAAUAUGCACGUCUUGACGGUACCUAAUCAAAAAGCCACGGCUAACUACGUG